rfam:Oryza sativa (indica cultivar-group) chromosome 5, whole genome shotgun sequence.
AAAAAGACAAACCCUGAGUUUCCGUGUCCAACGUUUGACUAUCCGUAUUAUAUGAAAUUUUUUUAUAAUUAGUAUUUUCAUUGUUAUUACAUGAUAAAACAUUAUUAAUACUUUAUGCGUGACUUGUCUUUUUAAUUUUUUCCAUAAUUUUUUCAAAUAAGACGGACGGUCAAACAUUGGACACGGAAACUCAUGGUUUAUCUUUUU